UACAGAGGUCUCAAGCGUUGUUCGGAUUCAUUGGGCGUAAAGGGCGCGUAGGCGGCGGGGUAAGUCGGGUGUGAAAUCUCAGAGCUCAACUCUGAAAUGGCACUUGAUACUGCUCUGCUAGAGGACUGGAGAGGAGAUUGGAAUUCACGGUGUAGCAGUGAAAUGCGUAGAUAUCGUGAGGAACACCGGUGGCGAAGGCGGGUCUCUGGGCCGUAACUGACGCUGAGGAGCGAAAGCGUGGGGAGCGAACAGG
rnacentral:rRNA from 1 species